GCACUGCUGAGGAGUCCCAAACUAGGACGAAACAGCUGUCCAGUAC
rnacentral:hammerhead_ribozyme from 1 species